AUGAUGCCCAAAAUUGGAGGUUUUGGCUUCUCUAGGCUCUUUGAUUCAAUAGAAACCUCCAACACAUCAGAAGUUACGGGAACAAGAGUAUACAUGCCGCCGGAAUACAUCAGUAAACGGCAAAUAACACCAAAGUUUGAUGUAUUCAGUCUGGGCAUUAUAAUCUUGCAAAUCAUGGCAGGAAAGGAGAGCUACACCAAAUGUGUAGAUACUUCUUCCGAAGUAUUUAUUGAGCUUGUAUAUCAAUUCUGGGCAAACAGGAUGCAGGGCACAAUAUCAAAGCAUACUUCGCGUGAAGUUAGAACAUGCAUCGAAAUAGCUCUAAAAUGUGUGGAGUUCAGUCGAGAAAAGAGGCCUACUAUAAAGGAGAUCAUACAGAAACUGAAUAAGAUUGAUAUUGUUGAGUGCUCAUCUAUACAUCAGCUAUAUAGAGCAAAAGAGUUUUCAUUUGAGUUCUUAGUAAAUAUUACUGAUAAAUUUUCCAAGCAAAACAUAGUUGGCCGUGGUGGAUAUGGAAUUAUUUACAAGGGGGUGCUGAAGGAUGGAGAAGAGGUUGCUGUUAAGAAACUUCAUCAAAUGUUGUGGAUUGAUGAUGAACAAUUUAAGAACGAGCUUAAUAAUCUAAUGAGGGUCCAACACAAAAAUAUCGUACGGUUAGUUGUCUACUGCCACCAUGCAUCACAUAUAUUUGUUGAGUACGAGGGAAAACAUGUUUCUGCUAGCGUGGUAGAAAGAGCAAUUUGUUUGGAAUAUGUGCAGGGUGGAAACCUUGACAAUCAACUUUCUGCUGAACCCUGCAAACUUGAUUGGGACAAAUGUCACAAAAUAAUAAAAGGAAUAUGUGAGGGUUUACAUUACCUUCAUAAUGCUGAUACUCCCAUUUACCAUCUGGACUUGAAACCAGAAAAUAUUUUGUUAGAUAAGGAUAUGGUGGCAAAAAUUGGUGAUUUCGGUUUGUCAAGACUUUUUGAUUCACCACAAACCUAUAUGACACAAUCCCAAGAUAUUAAAGGAACACGUGGAUACAUGCCACCAGAAUACAUCAACAGACAUGCAAUCAGUCCGAAGUUUGACGUAUUUAGUCUCGGGGUCAUAAUCAUACAAAUAAUGGCAGGAAAGGAGGGUUACUUCAGUUUUCCACAUACCCCUCCGAAAGAAUUUAUUAAGAAUGUGCGUGAAAACUGGCGAAUGAAGGUGGAGGCAACAAUGCCGCCCCAUGCAUCUGAAGAAGUGAGGACAUGCAUCGAAAUAGCGUUGAAAUGUGUGGAAGAUGACCGAAUGCGGAGGCCUACAAUAGCCCAGAUUGUUAAUGAACUAAGUAACAUUGGUGUUGCUAAAAGUUCACCCGUUAGUCAGUGGGCGAACAAGCUGAAUGUGUUGAAGACCUUGUUAUCAUCUACUCACUUCAAGUUCAAAUAUUGGUUGUUCCUCUUUGUCGCAGUGAUUUCCAUGUUUUUCGCAUGGGCGAAAUUCUGUCCAGAUUCAUGGUGGCAAGGCAUUACAAGGAGGACGUAA
rnacentral:rRNA from 1 species